UGGGGAAUAUUGGACAAUGGGCGAAAGCCUGAUCCAGCCAUGCCGCGUGUGUGAAGAAGGUCUUCGGAUUGUAAAGCACUUUAAGUUGGGAGGAAGGGCAGUAAGCGAAUACCUUGCUGUUUUGACGUUACCGACAGAAUAAGCACCGGCUAACUCUGUGCCAGCAGCCGCGGUAAUACAGAGGGUGCGAGCGUUAAUCGGAUUUACUGGGCGUAAAGCGUGCGUAGGCGGCUAAUUGAGUCGGAUGUGAAAUCCCCGAGCUUAACUUGGGAAUUGCAUUCGAUACUGGUUAGCUAGAGUGUGGGAGAGGAUGGUAGAAUUCCAGGUGUAGCGGAGAAAUGCGUAGAGAUCUGGAGGAAUACCGAUGGCGAAGGCAGCCAUCUGGCCUAACACUGACGCUGAGGUACGAAAGCAUGGGGAGCAAACAGG
rnacentral:rRNA from 1 species